rnacentral:misc_RNA from 1 species
GAUGGAAGAACGCAGCGAAAUGCGAUAAGUAGUGUGAAUUGCAGAAUUCAGUGAAUCAUCGAAUCUUUGAACGCACAUUGCGCCUCCUGGUAUUCCGGGAGGCAUGCCUGUUCGAGCGUCAUUAAAAUCACUCAAGCUUAGGUUUACCUAUUGCUUGGUCUUGGAGAUGGAAGCCAAUUUAUUGGAAUCCUCUUCGAAAUUCAAUGGCGAAGACCCUUGCUCUCCCAAGUGUAGUAAUAACUUAUGUCACUGAAGGAAGCGAGAAAUCUUCUGCCGUAACCCCCAUAUUUUCUAUGAUUGACCUCGGAUCAGGUAGGGAUACCCGCUGAACUUAAGCAUAUCAAUAAGCGGAGGA